UCCGAGAUGGUGUAACGGUAACAUUACCGCCUCUCAUUCGUGCGGUGCGCGGUAGCCCGGGGUUCGAUUCCCCGUCUCGGAA